CGACGAUAUAUAUAUAUUUCUGUCACCCGAUUCUCAUCACUAACAUAUUCUUGAAACUGGAAGGAAUUUCUCACUCAAGAAACUUCACUUCACACCAGGAUGUGAUACCCAGUGACAAUGACGCAACACUUUUUAUGUUUUAGCCUUUUUCGUUGUUGACAAAAGUUUAAGAAUUUGUAAUGUUUCACGCAAAAUCCAUUUCCCUGACAUAAAGCAAUUCAUGUACUUAAAUAUGUCACGAUGCAAGUUGUAUCAUAAUUAUGAGAAAACUCGCCUUUCCUGUCUCCACACUUUUUAACAUCCCAAGCACAAUAUACAUUCCUCAAUAGCUUAUUCACAUUCGACUAUACCUGGACAGUACUACAUCUUGCCUCAAGAGAAUCCAUACCACUUUAUUCGCAAGGAAAAUAUUCCGCCUUUCUAAGUCGACUAUGACGGCUUUCUCACACUCGCAACGACACUACCUCAAGCUCUUGCAACUUGUAGGUGACGACAGUAGACCAAAUUUGACACACUCAUUUUACAGUAACAAAUUGACCUUCUUUACAAUGGUUCCUCGUGCUCAAGAUCACUUCAGUAACCAAGGAUUGUCUUCCGAGACGAAAAGAGUUAAUAAUGGAAAAAGAAGGCAGGUACACCACUAGACCUAGGCAGAAGGGUUAGGCCUACAGCUUUGUGGUAAAGAUUGAGCAGUAUGGAAAGCGGAGACGGAACAUUAGUUGUGGUUCUGCACGUUCCUUGGCUCCCCGGCGACGUAACGAAAAUCGUAAAACAGCUCUAAAGGGGAUUGCGUCACCAUUAGCUAAGAUUCGUCUACCUGGACUAAUGACUUACGAUUGUAAGGACCGAGUGGCGACAUAGUGGCCGCCUUCCCAAAACGCAGCCACCUUCCCGUAAAAGUACUUGGAAUUCGCUGCCAUGAGCAUCAGUCAAGAGUUGUGGCCCAUCCAGGCAGCACACCGUGGCAUCUACACUCCUCUUGAACUGUGGUAAUUCCUGUGACAGCACAUUGAUUGUGGGAGCAUGGAGUCCAACAGUCUACACACAUGGAUUUGUUUUAUUGACAGAAUGUAACGCUGUUUCAGAGUUAUUUGAAUAUCAAAUUAUACUGUUCAUCCCAGUGAUCAGCAGCCUUCAAGUUAAUGCAAGAUUUCAAAUGGACACAUUUGAUUGAAGAUUUUACAUUUUGAAGACACUGCUUGUAUGACCACAAACAUGCACACACAAGUGGUACCAUGUACCUGAAGAGAUUGGAUUCAGUCACACUACAAGACUCACUAUACUAUUUUUAUUUGUCUUGAAAAAGAAUUGCAUAUAAAAGGAGGUAAAAUUGUCGAAGUUAGAUGUCUGGCUUCUAUAACUGAUGAGUAUGACACUGAUUAGGCGUCCAUCAUAUAAGAUUUAUUCUACUCUUCUGGCUUACAAACAUAUAUGGUACACAGCAGAUCAUUAUAAAAAUAUUGUUUCUUAGUAACAGGAAUAGUAGCAUUUCAGUACAUUACACCCCUCCAUGCCUUAAGAAAGAACUUACAAAUAGUUCAGCAAAAGUAUAAAAUAAUACAGUAAUCUAUCUGGCAAACAUAAACAAGCAUUUGUAUUUAUGCAAUAAAAAAUCAAGGCGUUGGACAGGUUUACAUAUACGACUUGAAUGUCUCACUACAGGUGUGUUCUCAGGGCUAACUCGUCAGUUACUUCACUAAUAUUUUCAGAAUCUUGCACAUUAGUUCCACUAUUUUCAUUCAGUUGAAAAUUGGAUUCAGAGUUAGGUAAGGUUUGAGAUCAUUCAAGACCUUCACUAGCAUCCUUUAAAUUAGCAUUACCUUCAAUUUCACAAGAGGUUUUACUUGUUUAAACAUUUGAUGAAAAUGUCUAUGUACAACAUCUCCAUCACUACUAACAGUUUUACAUGAAAUGGGACCAGUAGACUCAUAUUUCAAUACAUCACAAAUUCCGUUUGAAUGCUUUCUUGAGAUAUAAUGACUUCUAUUUCUCACAUGAUUCUUCUUAUGUAGUUGUAAAUUUUUGUAAGAUUUUUAAACCUUUCUUCCACCAUCUGUGUUUAGUACACAAUGUUAGAAUAGGAAGUAAUGAGUUAACCUUCGCGUAUAUGUUUUUCUCAUUCCUCUGGUCCCAUCUGCUUCUCUGUAAUGUUAUCAGUUAUGCCAGUUAUACACAGGGAAAUCUAUCCCGCUUGUAAUGGCCUUUCAGGCUUAUUGUUGCAUGUAAUUUUUGCUCAUUUUGAGUAGGCAUUUAUCUCUAUAUCUUGUUUAGUUCCUUAACGAUUGAUUCUUUUGCUGUGAUAUUUACAUUGAAGGAUUUGCUUAUUUACAUUUCUUUGCAGUUAUGUUAUUACAGACAUAUUCUCUGUUUGACUCCAUAUCUGCCACAUCAUCAUCCUCUCUAGCCACCUGCCUCUUGGCUUCCCUCCUCUUCUCCUCAUAGGCCUUGCUAUUCUCUCUGCCAAUUAUUUAUCAGAAUUUGAAGUUUCUUUGUCCCUCAGAACCUUUGACAGAGUAUGCAUAAAAUUGCCCAGGUAAUCGAUUCUUAGUGUCUUGCUGGUUCUAGACGUACCUACUGUCAACAGGAAAUGAUUCCGAUCUAUGACCGCUUUGUUCACGGUCACAUUGCAGCUUGCAUGGCCCAUUGUACUAAAGAAUUUGUUUGGUGUUCGUUUGACCCCAACUGUACUACUUAGUGCAUUUUACUUUUCAGCUUGGCAUUGUUCAAUUUUCAGCUGUCUCUUUUUGCUGUUCAUUGUUUUUUUGUUUUUCCAUUCACAAGGGUUGCUAAGCGUUAUCAUUCCUAAGGUAGAUAAAUAUGCUUCAUGUGUUGUGUGUUGUCCUUCAGUUCCCCAGUGAAGAAACUUCCUCUAAUUUUUAAAAGAAUGUUAAAUAGUAGCAUAUUAUUGUUGAGUAGAAAGUGUGAGAUACUUUUCCCUUUCUGUUGUGAAAUUUGUUCAGAACCCUCAGCAUUUUUAAAUUACCUUGUUAUACAUUUUUAAAAGAACUGCAAUUUAUUAGAUAGCAUUUGAAUUUUGCUGUUAAAAACACUAUUUAGGUCAGUCCAUAUAUAGUAAAAAAGGUUAUAAUAUUUUGGUCACUUAUCCUCAGGCAAUUCCUGAAAGGGUCCAAUGGUGUGAAAUUUUAGGCUCGUUAAGUGACAAUAGUAUAAGUGUAAAGGAGUCUUAUAUAUUUUUGCAAUGAAAGUCUUUUUACAAUAAUUUUUCAGUAAGAGUAUUUUUCAUAGUUAUUUACAUGUAAUGUUACAUUGCUUUGAAUAUUUUUAUAUUUUUAUUAUUAGCUAAAGGCACAAUUUAUAUCAUUGGUAUAGUAUUUUUUCAUUAUUUGAUUGCAAUCAAAUGCAAUGACUACUGCCCCAACUCUUGUUUAUGCUGUGAAGAUGAAGAAAAACUAGAGUACCGUAUGUAUAUGUUUCACUUUGUUAGACUCCUGAGGACAUUUUAUUUCUUCAGCUGGAACAAAUCUAAGUAUGUAUUCAUAAGUGGUAAUUUAUUAAUUAUUGUUUUUAGAAGUAUUUUGUGUGAGAUUUAAAGAUAUUUCUUUGAGGGGCAGAAAAUUUAAAGUCUUUCACUUAAAACUUCUUUCAUUUAAUGUGUGUUCUUUGUUUAGUAUUUACUUUUGUCUAUUGACUUAGCCUUAUUUGUGUGACUUUCUAGACUACAGUAAUCCACUUACGAAAGACAAAGGAAAACACUGGAUUGGUGACUGCUCUGCAGUUUUAACUGGAAUACAAGUCAGUAGUUGGGUAUGGGUCUUUAUGAUCCCAGAUGUUGCAGAUACCAGGUAUUUUCAUGGCUAACUUCCAAUUUCACCUAUAUGAACACAUUUCCCACAUAUCUUUCUUUUUUCAACCCAUUUUUUAAUAGACCGAUUUAUACGUACCUCUUUUCUUUUAGUGAGAAUCAUUUCAGUUUUGGUCUUUUUAUUUUUUCUUUUAUUUUUGGUAUAAAUUCUGCAUUUCAGCACGUUACAGCUUUUAUUGCUGCUCAUUCUGAUCAAUUAAGAAAGUAAAAAAAAAAUCCUCUCGGUUCAUUUUCAACUUGUGUUUUUCAUUGGGUAUUCUCUGAGUUGCACUACCCUUAGAGAUGCUCCAUUCAGCUUCAGUUACUUUGGCUCGGUAAUUACAAUGGAGUAAGUUUCAGUGUCAGUAAUCUGCUUUGUCUUGAUCUUUUUUGCAACUUGCCAUUUUGCAAGACAUACUAUUUCUAAUUUUCAAUCUGUCACACUUCUCAGAAGUUUUGUGAUUGUUUUGGAAGAAGUGCCAUCUAGCUCGUGACCCUGUUUGCCUUUGAAAUUUUUAGUUUCCUUUGUACCUCACUAUCCAAGAAGCUCCCUUUUUGGUCUUUGCUGGGUCCUUUCCACUGGUUGGCAUUCCAGCAGCUCGGUACCCUUCUGCUUAGGUUAGAAUAAUAGGUUUGCAAAUAACAAGUGACUAUUCAUUCACAAACCCAUUCCUUGUAAGUAAAUUCCCCUUCUUAUUCCCUAGCUCUUUUUCACCUUUAUCUACAGUGAAUAAUUUUCUUAACCAUCUGUGGUAUUAAAACUUAAUAAAUUGUUGCACUGUUUUGCAGUUCUAUAUUGCAAAAAGAAUGCCUCACUCAUGUGACUCAUGGGAGUUUGAUGAAUAAUAAUCCACUUGACCACCCAAUCCCUGAAGGCAGAUAUCUUCAGUGAUUGUCAACUUACAGGACCAAGUUGCUGCCCUUUUGUCUUCUGUGGAUCUGAUCUAUCAUACUUAGUAUGAUAAAUCGCAGGGCUUUUGUAGCCUCGCACAGGACCUCUUUCUCUCCUUAUGCUGUCAUACUUGUGCAUCCCAUGCUGUUUUUUCUUUCUGUUUUAGUAGUUCUCUCAUUCGGAGUAAAAUUAAGCCAUGCUGAAGCCAUAGAUGACUUCUAGAAAUGGUACGUUUUUAAAGUUUAAAAAUUACACAAUUACUCCAUAGGAGUGAAUAAAGUUUAAUCAAACACUAUCAUAGUGAGAGAGAGAGAGAGAGGGUACUUUAGAUUUAACGAAUAUAAGUGAAAAAAGGUCCUACUUAAGUAUAUGAUUUCGAGUAUGUAAAAAUGGGCUAAAAAUACCUCUUGAAACUUACUGGGAAGAAAUUGGCCAUUUGAUUAAAGAAAGGAAAGGCUGCUGUAAAGGUACUAUACAAUGAAGCAAUCAAUGAACUGUUCCUGUAGGGUGGCUUGAAUGAAUGACAUCAUGAGUUUAACAAAUAAUAGUAUUCACAAAAUUUAUUGUCCGAAAUGUGACGUAAUAGGUUUGAUGGAAGGAUUCUUGUAUAAGAGAGCUGUAGAAUAUGAAAGAAAUAAAAGUACAAAGUAACUGGAUAGUAUUUUAUUUAAAUCCAAAAAAUUAUUUCAAAGGGGGGUUUACUCAAAAAAAUAAGCUGUUAAAUUUUUUUUUCAACUUUUAGAGCCAGCAUUGCAAUGCCCCCAGCAGAUCGAAGGUAUACAGCCAGUUGGUUACCAACUCUGAAGCCAACCCAAGGCCAAGUUUUCUAAGCUGACAACGUACUGGCCAAGAUGGGAAAAGCCUCAUUUACCUCCCUUGCGCUUUCCCAGAUGCAUUUGUCCAUGGCACUAACGAGGAAAGAUAUCCAGACCCUUUUAAAUGUCAAAGAGAACUACUAAGUACAGGAGGUUCAAGAUGGGAAGGUCAAGUUACCAUAGACAAGCCUUAGCUCACGUUCGCUCUUAAUGCUGUGGUUUCAUACUUGAGCAAGUGCGUGGAGACGUAAGUAUCCAGUGAAACAUGACUUGAAAACCCGUAGACUUGUACCGCCAGAAUUUCGUUUCUAAGCAGAAUGUCCCUAAAAAUCCCUAGUCCAAGCUAGAAUGAUACCUACGGGGUGUAAACACUCAUUCCGACUUUCUGCUUUCCGUUUGCAUUGAGCUUUCGAAAGACUUUUGUCACAACUUCUUUUUUAGAAAACGAGUCUUAGUUAACCUUCAUAGAAAACCGAACAGGAACAGUAACUUACGCCCAUGACCCCGAGAUAAAUAUAACUAACUUAACAGCCACCUGACACUGGUUUUCAGAUACCUUUGUCUGCCUACUUUUUCAAAGUAUAAAUCUGAUUAUGCAGUGUGGAUAAUUAUAAUGUGAAAAACCAAGUUCCAGUAUUAGAGGGUCAUUUUUGACCAGAGAAAUCAUUGAAAGAUUUCAGUUUGACAGAACUCGUAAAAUGGGCAGUGUUGCAGAAAUUACAGACAGUAACUAACUUUGAUUAAUUAGGUAUGAGAUUUUUCACAGCACUUUUGGCUGAUUAGUUUCUAUUCCUCGUCAAAAUUACUUUUUGCUGCACUCUCGUGUUUUGAGCUACAUCGCUUAAAUUAUAUUUUAGAUUACGAAAACAGUUAUAAUUUAAAUUAUUUUAAUUAGACGAGCGUUACAUGCGCCAGAAGUUUAAGCUAUAUAGAGCUAAAUUUGUUAACUUGAAAUUCAAUUAAUUAAAUCAUAUACUUUGGUGCUAUUUUCAGUUUACAUCAUCAUAUUUUCGUCUACAUGACGUAUUCGCAAAGUAUGUAAUAUUCAUUUAUAAUCUCAGAUGUCUUUCUGAACAGGAAUUUCACAAAUAAACCAAACUGAAGCUAACUUAAUUUUAUUUCAAAUUACAAGUCAUCCUCGAGUCUUUUCCUAUAACAAAAGCAAUUAAUUACACCAAGAUGAAGACACAUACAGUCCCCACAAAAGCAGACAAGUGACCCAAACCCCUUCAGGUGGAACAAGUGUGCCUUGAGGUACUCCCCCCCUCCCAAACAAACCACCAAUUCGUCUUAUAGGCCUAAUGGCACCAUUCAAUGUAAGUGAUUGAGUCAGGUAAAUGGUCAGAGACGUGCAAGCUAGGUCCUCCUGCCCCAUUCUUCCAACCCCAGACAGGACAGCAACGUCGCCUUCACUCUACACGUGGACCACCGGGCCAGUGUAGGUUCUAUGAUACUUACAAAAAUCCACUCCAUUGCCAGUUAAUUAGGGAGAAAUGUCCGGCUAAUAAUUGGAACCUUCCUUUUGGUAUUUUGAAGUGAAGAUGUCUGCUCAAAUCUUUCAGUUUUCGAUUUAUAUACGACUAUGAAAAGCAGUUUUGUACUUAUCACCAGAACAAGACUCUGGAUUCAGAAAAAUCGUUUUAUCCAACUCACAAAAUCAUUGAUAUAAAAAUAACCUUUCGUUAUACAUAUCAGAAUAGGGCCACGUGGCUAUAAUUACCUAAAAAUGAAAAUCACUGUUUGAUAUGGCAGAUGAAUAUAUUUAGAUUACUGUUUCACAUACCAGAACAGAGAUAUAGGUACCAAAAACUGCAACUUUGUAUUAAUCAUCAGUAGGUACACAACUAUACAAUUAUGGACGUAUACCUUUUCAUAAGGACCAUUACGAUAGGGCUAUUUUUGCAAACGUCACAACCAAAGAAUGUAUACUGGUAAGGAAAAACUUCAUGAAAAGUUUACUUCUUCUAAUUUUGACCUUAUACCUGAAGACCUGCACUUGAGAGCUAAUACCAAACCACAAUUUCACUAACGAUUUUUUUUGUGCCAAGUUUUAGGACGCACUAUAUCUUGACCUUUUGUCUUAUUCUUGACGCAAUAUCCAUCUUUAUGCCCAAAAUUUCUAAGAGAAUACUAAACCUCUAUUCUUGUAAGUACUACUAGUAACGAAAAAACACCAAAACUGACACCUCCUGGGACUAAGAUUAAAAGAAAAAAAAAACUCCCAACUGAAACAAUUUGUAGCCAAAGAUCUCCAUCGAACAGACAGUUUUUAUACAGAAAUCACACUCUAGAUAAAAAGAAAAAGACUUCAAUAGCAGAAAACUGACGAACAAGUAAUCUCAAGAGAUGAGAGCAUAAACUAACCAUUCAGGUAAAAAGUUUCCACUCUCUGGGCAAAAUCAACUCUGGCUCCCCACACGGACAAACUUUGUAAACAAAUGAACACCAUUCGCUGUGAAAAAGUUUCACCCACAAACAAAAAAAAGAAAAAAAAAAAAAACACUGAAAAGACUUCCUGAUCAAGACAAAAAAAUGAUAUACAUAGUUGGUAAAAAACUUGCAAACCAACAUAUCUUCAAGCCAAAAAAUCACUACCUAAUAAUUUCCAAUCGGAACAAAAACAUCCUUUGAAUCAUCAACAGAUUUUUUUCACACAAAAAACACCUAA